rnacentral:rRNA from 1 species
GAUGAACGCUGGCGGCGUGCCUAAUACAUGCAAGUCGAGCGAACGGACGCGAAGUUUGCUUCUUUGAUGUUAGCGGCGCACGUGUGAGACACACGUGGAUACCCCACUUAUCAGACUGGGAUAUCUUCGGGACACCGGAGCUAACCCCGGAGAAUCUUCUGAACCGCAUGGUUCAAUGGAAAAAUACGGUCGUGCUGUCUCUUCUCGAUGCUUACGGGCUGCAUUAGCUAGUUGGUCAGGUAACGGCUUAUCACGGCAACGAUGCAUGGCCGAGCGACGAGGGUGAUAGGCCACACGGGAACUGAGACAGGGUCCAUACUCCUGAGGGAGGGAGCAGUAGGGAAUCGUCCGCAGUGGGCGAAAGCCUGGCGGAGCAACGCCGCGUGAGUGAUGAAGGUCUUCGGAUCGUAAAACUCUGUUAUUAGGGAAGAACAGAUGUGGAAGUAACUGUGCACAGCGUGACGGUACCUGAUCAGAAAGCCACGGCUAACUACGUG